UACGUAGGGGGCGAGCGUUGUCCGGAUUUAUUGGGCGUAAAAGGCUUGUAGGUGGCCACGGCAAGUCGGAUGUGAAAUCUCCCGGCUCAACUGGGAGGGGUCAUUCGAUACUGCCGGGCUCGAGGCCGGUAGGGGGAAGCGGAAUUCCCGGUGUAGUGGUGGAAUGCGUAGAUAUCGGGAGGAACACCGGUGGCGAAGGCGGGUCUCUGGGCAGUAACUGACGCUGAGGAGCGAAAGCGUGGGGAGCGAACAGG
rnacentral:rRNA from 1 species